rnacentral:rRNA from 1 species
CAGAACGAACGCUGGCAGCGUGGAUUAGGCAUGCAAGUCGGACGGGAUCGGGAAGGUAGCAAUAUCGGCCCGUGAGAGUGGCGGAAGGGCGAGGAACACGUGGGCAACCUGUCCUUGAGGUGGGGAAAACCGCUGGAAACGGCGGCUAAUACCGAAUGUGGCGCGGGAGGGCAUCCUUCCAGCGCUAAAGGGGGCGAAAGCUCCCCCUCUUCGAGGGGCUCGCGCACCAUCAGCUUGUUGGCGGGGUAACGGCCCACCAAGGCUCACGGUUAGCUGGUCUGAGAGGAUGGCCAGCCGCACUGGGACUGAGAUACUGCCCAGACUCCUACGGGAGGCUGCAGUCGAGGAUCAUUCGCAAUGGGGGAAACCCUGACGAUGCGACGCUGCGUGGAAGGAUGAAGGCCCUCGGGUCGUAAACUCCUGUCAUGAGGGAAACGGCGAGGGGACCCAACACGUCCCUUAGUUGAUGGUACCUCAAGAGGAACGGGCGGCUAACUCUGUGCCAGCAGCCGC